GAGUGGGAUUUUCCUCUUCUGCUGAUUUGAUUUUUAACUUUGGGGGUUUAUUCUUUGUGGAAUGUGUAGCAUUUGGGUGGAGACCUAUUUCUAAGGCACUAUGAGGGGGUGGUGGCAGCAGGGUUUCUUUCCCCACUGCAGGUGUUUGGAUAAGGUUUGGGGUCACACACGGUUGCCCUGCAUCUUCUGUCCUGCUGGCCGGGACCAUGUGGUUGGUUCCCAAGACCCUGCUGGCUGCCUGGCCGAGCAUCAGGAAAGGCGGUGCACAGAGUCAUGCUGUCUGGAGGCUUUCCGUUCCUCUCAUCGUGAACCUAGCUACACUCACGUGGAAAUGGCACCAUUAGGGGACACAAAAGACUGAGAAAACACAGUUCCAGGGGGCGGAAACUCACCGGAGCGUGGAGGAGACACGUCCACCGACAUUUACAAACGUUUGCUGAACACAAUCAGCUGGUUUUACAUCCACCAGAGAGGAGGCUGAGCUCAGUCACCCACUUAAGUAAGCCUCAUGCUCCAACCCCGGUGAGGACUGGGGCGUCCACACAAGUUCUGCCUGUCCCCUGAGGCCUGUGAGACUCAAGUGCUGUGAAGACCCUGAAGAGGCCUCUGGCCCCCCAACUUCGCUUCCCAAGGACUGAAGACUUCGUGCUCAGAGGACCUCAGCGCAGCUUCCACGCACACCAAUGCUCAGUGAGUGCUGGUGUUAGUAUUACAAACCGGUUACUGUGUGGGAGUCAGGAAGGCCAGGGCUCAGAGCAGAUGCUGCGGGGGAGGGGAGGCAGGGCUGCAGGGUCGCCUGGGACGGCCCCACCAACCUGAACACUGCUGGUGUUAUCACCACAGAUGCCACGCUGAGGUUCAGGCACCCACGACACAUCAAGUCCCUCCACUGCUCCACCCCACACCCCACACUCUGCCCCUGCCCCUGUGGGCCUCACCAUUGCCACCCCCAGCCUGAGGGAUAGGAUUGUCCUAUGGUUUUAUACGCUAAAUCUGGCAACCCUAAGUGAAGGGGUUAAGAAUAAACAGCUACUGGAUUUAAAUCACCCUGACUUUGGACCCUAAGACUCAUGAAAAGCUGUGAGUAUGUAAGCAUUCUGACUACUAAUCCUCACUUUGCUGUGGGGCUUGGCUGAGAGUCAUUUUGUUUCUACACCACUAUGGAUGGAAAUACUGAAGUAGAGCCUGGGUUUUUGGUUUGUUUGUUUUUUGCUUCUUAAUUCAAAAGUUUCCCAGACACAGAGAAGGACUUAUAAACCAGCUGAAGAGCCUUACACUCUUUUACCUAAAGUAUCUAAAGUACUUUAGGUAAAAUAAAGAGUAAUAGAGAUAUCUGCGAUAUUGAUAGGCCCUGAUCCU